rnacentral:rRNA from 1 species
UACAGAGGGUGCGAGCGUUAAUCGGAAUUACUGGGCGUAAAGCGCACGUAGGCGGCUUGGUAUGUCGGGUGUGAAAUCCCCGGGCUCAACCUGGGAACUGCAUCCGAAACUGCCUUGCUAGAGUAUGGGAGAGGGAAGUGGAAUUUCCGGUGUAGCGGUGAAAUGCGUAGAUAUCGGGAGGAACACCAGUGGCGAAGGCGACUCUCUGGCCUGUAACUGACGCUGAGGCGCGAAAGCGUGGGUAGCGAACAGG